UAGGAAUCUGCCUCUUCACCACACAGACCACCUCUGUCUAUUCAUCUCUUUCAGGUCUCUUGGAUCUGUUUGUUUCUGCAGUUGCUAAGUAUAUUCAAGUUAGCGGAGUACAUUUUAAAUAUGUUUAUCAUGAAGUAGGGCCGGGGAAGACCAAGUUCUACAUCAUAUUUUGGCAGGAUUCCUAUUUGGAGCUUCUCUCCGGCUUGUUCUUGCUGUUGAUGGAGCAUUUUCACAGGUGGACAUCGAACAUGUCUCACCUCCAAAUCAGCACACAAAACCCCCCCACGACACGGCAUGACAGCAGCCUUUGAUGGUGUCUUUGCAAGCAGAGAUGAGCAUCUAACAGAUCGUCAACACUUCAGGCACCAGCCGUAGUCCCAAAAAGAGAGAAGGGAAGAAUCAUGGACUGAAACAAAAGGAGGACAAGAGAGGCAUGAGAGCGACAGGCAGACCGAAAGGAACCGAGGAGCUGCCAAUGAUUGGAAUUAUCUGGGACCGAACACCGUCACAUGCAAGUCUACAGAUUUGCAUGUUUUUAAACUGGUGCCAUCUGAGGUCAUCAGCAUUGACAGUAUGAGAGAUCAUGUGUUCCAAUCACACAAAAAUACACACACACACACACACACACACACACACACACAAUGGAUCAAGUAAUCAUUAGAUGUAGAUAUGAUAUUCUUUAAAGUAAUUGAUCAUUUCAAGUCACCCUGUUAUUGAUCCUCCUUGUUUUUAUGUUGCUUUUAAAUAACAGCGUGUGUCUCAGAGACUGCUUGUUGCAUGUGACACCUUAACAGUUUGUUAAAAUUGUCUUAAAUUGCUAAGAAUAAAUGUGUUCACUUAAAA